rnacentral:rRNA from 1 species
CCUACGGGAGGCAGCAGUGAGGAAUAUUGGUCAAUGGACGAGAGUCUGAACCAGCCAAGUAGCGUGAAGGAUGACUGCCCUAUGGGUUGUAAACUUCUUUUAUAUGGGAAUAAAAUGUUCCACGUGUGGGAUUUUGUAUGUACCAUAUGAAUAAGGAUCGGCUAACUCCGUGCCAGCAGCCGCGGUAAUACGGAGGAUCCGAGCGUUAUCCGGAUUUAUUGGGUGUAAAGGGAGCGUAGGUGGGUUGUUAAGUCAGUUGUGAAAGUUUGCGGCUCAACCGUAAAAUUGCAGUUGAAACUGGCAGUCUUGAGUACAGUAGAGGUGAGCGGAAUUCGUGGUGUAGCGGUGAAAUGCUUAGAUAUCGCGAAGAACUCCGAUUGCGAAGGCAGUUCACUGGACUGCAACUGACACUGAGGCUCGAAAGUGUGGGUAUCAAACAGGAUUAGAUACCCCAGUAGUC